GAGUAUGAAAUAUUUCGGGCGUCGGGU
rnacentral:piRNA from 1 species